rnacentral:rRNA from 1 species
CCUACGGGAGGCAGCAGUGGGGGAUAUUGCACAAUGGGGGAAACCCUGAUGCAGCGACGCCGCGUGGGUGAAGAAGCGCCUCGGCGCGUAAAGCCCUGUCAGCAGGGAAGAAAAUGACGGUAACUGAAGAAGAAGCCCCGGCUAACUACGUGUCAGCAGCCGCGGUAAUACGUAGGGGGCAAGCGGUAUCCGGAUUUACGGGGUGUAAAGGGGGCGCAGACGGCGAUGCAAGCCAGGAGUGAAAGCCCGGGGCCCAACCCCGGGACUGCUCUUGGAACUGCGUGGCUAGAGUGCAGGAGGGGCAGGCGGAAUUCCUGGUGUAGCGGUGAAAUGCGUAGAUAUCAGGAGGAACACCGGUGGCGAAGGCGGCCUGCUGGACUGCAACUGACGUUGAGGCCCGAAAGCGUGGGGAGCAAACAGGAUUAGAUACCCGGGUAGUC